rnacentral:rRNA from 1 species
UUUAAAGCAAAUAAGGGCGUAUGGUGAAUGCCUUGGGUCUGAGAGGCGAAGAAGGACGUGGUAAGCUGCGAUAAGCUUCGGGGAGCUGCACACAAGCGUUAUAUCCGAAGAUUUCCGAAUGGGACAACCCGCUGCAUUGAAGAUGCAGCACUCGAAAGAGAGCCAACCUCCUGAACUGAAACAUCUAAGUAGGGAGAGGAAAAGAAAACAAUCGUGAUUCCCUGAGUAGUGGCGAGCGAAACGGGAAUAGCCCAAACCAUGGCGGCGUGCUGUCGUGGGGUUGUAGGACUGCAUUUAGAAACUGUUAUCAAGCCGAAUCUUCUGGAAAGUUGAAUCAUAGAGGGUGAUAAUCCCGUAAGCGGAAAUUAACAGCGACGAGCAGUAUCCUGAGUAAGGCGGGACCGGAGAAAUCCUGCCUGAAUCUGCCGGCACCAUCCGGUAAGGCUAAAUACUCCUCAGACACCGAUAGUGAACCAGUACCGUAAGGGAAAGGUGAAAAGCACCCUAAACAAGGGAGUGAAAUAGUACCUGAAACCGUACGCUUACAAGCGGUCGGAGCCAGCAAUGGUGACGGCGUGCCUUUUGCAUAAUGAGCCUACGAGUUACUCCUCACUGGCGAGGUUAAGCACUUAAGUUGCGGAGCCGUAGCGAAAGCAAGUCCAAAUAGGGCGCUUAGUCAGUGGGGGUAGACGCGAAACUUUGUGAUCUAUCCAUGGGCAGGUUGAAGUUGUGGUAACACACAAUGGAGGACCGAACUCAUGAGCGUUGAAAAGCUCUGGGAUGACCUGUGGAUAGGGGUGAAAGGCCAAUCAAACUGAGAGAUAGCUCGUUCUCCCCGAAAUGUUUUUAGGAACAGCCUCGGAUUACAGACGUUUAACACAGGUAGAGCUACUGAUUGGGCUAGGGGGCUUCACCGCCUACCAAACCCUGACAAACUCCGAAUGGUGUUAAAUAUCUCCGGGAGUGAGGCUGCGGGCGAUAAGGUCCGUGGCCGAGAGGGAAAUAACCCAGAUUAGCAACUAAGGUCCCUAAUAUAUGGUUAAGUUGAUCAAACGAGGUGGGAUUUCUAUAACAGCCAGGAUGUUGGCUUGGAAGCAGCCAUUCAUUUAAAGAGUGCGUAACAGCUCACUGGUCGAGAGAUCCUGCACGGAAAAUAAUCGGGCAUCAAACCAUAAACCGAAGUUCUAAACCGUCCGCUCGGCGGACGUGUGGUAGGGGAGCAUUGAAAUCUGCUGCGAAGGUGUCUGGCGAUGGAUGCUGGAGCGAUUUCAAAAGAAAAUGUAGGCAUAAGUAACGAUAAUUGAAGUGAAAAACUUCAACGCCGUAAACCCAAGGUUUCCUGAUCAAUGUUAAUCAGAUCAGGGUUAGUCGGGUCCUUAGGCAAACCCGAAAGGGGCAGCUGAUGGAAAGUUGGUUAAUAUUCCAACACCUGCUUAUACUUCGAUGGGGUGACGGGGUAGUGAAAGGUCCGCGUUCUUACGGAAUAGAACGUUAAAGGGUGUAGAUAUAGGCUGUACAGGUAAAUCCGUACGGCUUGUCGAACCUGAUAGUACAGCAAAGCUUCGGCAGCGCUGAUAGUGACCCUAAUCAAACCUCCGAGAAAAACCUCUAAGUUAUGGUAUAAGCAGCCCGUACCGUAAACCGACACAGGUGGGUGGGAUGAAUAUUCUAAGGCGCUCGGGUGAGCCGUGGAGAAGGAACUAGGCAAAUUGACGCUGUAACUUCGGGAUAAAGCGUACCGACUUCGGUCGGUCUCAGUAAAAUGGUGCAACCAACUGUUUAGCAAAAACACAGGGCCCUGCAAAAUCGAAAGAUGACGUAUAGAGCCUGAUACCUGCCCGGUGCUGGAAGGUUAAGGAAGGGUGUUCGACGCAAGUCAAAGCUCCUGACUGAAGCCCCAGUAAACGGCGGCCGUAACUAUAACGGUCCUAAGGUAGCGAAAUUCCUUGUCGGGUAAGUUCCGACCUGCACGAAUGGUCUAAUGAGUUGAACACUGUCUCCUCC